AAGACUAUAGACCUGCGGAGUACCUGCGGAGGGAUCAUUACCGAAAAAAAAACCACAAAAGUGAUGAAUUGCGGGCACUUGCGUACACGUACACCAUGGCGUUCUCCGCGCAAGGAGGAUGCGAUGAUGCGCGCACACAGACACAAGUGCUGCUUUCUCCCUUUGUCAACCCCUUGUGUGAACCACUUUUAUGUAUGCUGGCAUGUUGACUGACUGACUGACUGACUGACUGUGACUGUC
rnacentral:misc_RNA from 1 species